rnacentral:rRNA from 1 species
UGGGGAAUUUUGGACAAUGGGCGCAAGCCUGAUCCAGCAAUGCCGCGUGCAGGAUGAAGGCCUUCGGGUUGUAAACUGCUUUUGUACGGAGCGAAAAGGUCUGCCCUAAUACGGUGGGCUCAUGACGGUACCGUAAGAAUAAGCACCGGCUAACUACGUGCCAGCAGCCGCGGUAAUACGUAGGGUGCGAGCGUUAAUCGGAAUUACUGGGCGUAAAGCGUGCGCAGGCGGUUAUAUAAGACAGGUGUGAAAUCCCCGGGCUCAACCUGGGACCUGCAUUUGUGUCUGUAUAGCUAGAGUACGGUAGAGGGGAUGGAAUUCCGCGUGUAGCAGUGAAAUGCGUAGAUAUGCGGAGGAACACCGAUGGCGAAGGCAAUCCCCUGGACCUGUACUGACGCUCAUGCACGAAAGCGUGGGGAGCAAACA